UAGCUAGUUGGUGAGGUAAAGGCUUACCAAGGCGACGAUCUGUAGCGGGUCUGAGAGGAUGAUCCGCCACACUGGAACUGAGACACGGUCCAGACUCCUACGGGAGGCAGCAGUGGGGAAUUUUGGACAAUGGGGGCAACCCUGAUCCAGCCAUGCCGCGUGAGUGAAGAAGGCCUUCGGGUUGUAAAGCUCUUUCGGCCGGGAAGAAAUCGCAUGGGCCAAUACCCUGUGUGGAUGACGGUACCGGAAUAAGAAGCACCGGCUAACUACGUGCCAGCAGCCGCGGUAAUACGUAGGGUGCGAGCGUUAAUCGGAAUUACUGGGCGUAAAGCGUGCGCAGGCGGUUUUGUAAGACAGGCGUGAAAUCCCCGGGCUUAACCUGGGAACUGCGUUUGUGACUGCAAGGCUAGAGUACGGCAGAGGGGGGUGGAAUUCCACGUGUAGCAGUGAAAUGCGUAGAGAUGUGGAGGAACACCAAUGGCGAAGGCAGCCCCCUGGGUCGAUACUGACGCUCAUGCACGAAAGCGUGGGUAGCAAACAGGAUUAGAUACCCUGGUAGUCCACGCCCUAAACUAUGUCAACUAGGUGUUGGGUGGGUAAAACCAUUUAGUACCGUAGCUAACGCGUGAAGUUGACCGCCUGGGAGUACGGCCGCAAGGUUAAAACUCAAAGGAAUUGACGGGGACCCGCACAAGCGGUGGAUGAUGUGGAUUAAUUCGAUGCAACGCGAAAAACCUUACCUACCCUUGACAUGCCAGGAACUUGCCAGAGAUGGCUUGGUGCCCGAAAGGGAGCCUGGACACAGGUGCUGCAUGGCUGUCGUCAGCUCGUGUCGUGAGAUGUUGGGUUAAGUCCCGCAACGAGCGCAACCCUUGUCGUUAAUUGCCAUCAUUUAGUUGGGCACUUUAACGAGACUGCCGGUGACAAACCGGAGGAAGGUGGGGAUGACGUCAAGUCCUCAUGGCCCUUAUGGGUAGGGCUUCACACGUCAUACAAUGGUCGGUACAAAGGGUUGCCAAGCCGCGAGGCGGAGCCAAUCCCAGAAAGCCGAUCGUAGUCCGGAUUGCAGGCUGCAACUCGCCUGCAUGAAGUCGGAAUCGCUAGUAAUCGUGGAUCAGCAUGUCACGGUGAAUACGUUCCCGGGUCUUGUACACACCGCCCGUCACACCAUGGGAGCGGGUUCCGCCAGAAGUAGGUAGCCUAACCGCAAGGGGGGCGCUUACCACGGCGGGGUUCGUGACUGGGGUGAAGUCGUAACAAGGUAGCCGUAGGGGAACCUGCGGCUG
rnacentral:rRNA from 1 species